UCACUUUCAACAACGGAUCUCUUGGCUCUCGCAUCGAUGAAGAACGUAGCGAAGUGCGAUAAGUAGUGUGAAUUGCAGAAUUCCGUGAAUCAUCGAAUUUUUGAACGCAAAUUGCGCUUCCUGGCAUCCCGGGAAGUAUGCCUGUUUGAGGGUCAGU
rnacentral:rRNA from 1 species